UGCAGUCGACGAUGAACCGCUUUCGGGCGGGGAUUAGUGGCGAACGGGUGAGUAACACGUGGGCAAUCUGCCCUGCACUCUGGGACAAGCCCUGGAAACGGGGUCUAAUACCGGAUAUGACUGUCCAUCGCAUGGUGGAUGGUGUAAAGCUCCGGCGGUGCAGGAUGAGCCCGCGGCCUAUCAGCUUGUUGGUGAGGUAGUGGCUCACCAAGGCGACGACGGGUAGCCGGCCUGAGAGGGCGACCGGCCACACUGGGACUGAGACACGGCCCAGACUCCUACGGGAGGCAGCAGUGGGGAAUAUUGCACAAUGGGCGAAAGCCUGAUGCAGCGACGCCGCGUGAGGGAUGACGGCCUUCGGGUUGUAAACCUCUUUCAGCAGGGAAGAAGCGAAAGUGACGGUACCUGCAGAAGAAGCGCCGGCUAACUACGUGCCAGCAGCCGCGGUAAUACGUAGGGCGCAAGCGUUGUCCGGAAUUAUUGGGCGUAAAGAGCUCGUAGGCGGCUUGUCACGUCGGUUGUGAAAGCCCGGGGCUUAACCCCGGGUCUGCAGUCGAUACGGGCAGGCUAGAGUUCGGUAGGGGAGAUCGGAAUUCCUGGUGUAGCGGUGAAAUGCGCAGAUAUCAGAGGAACACCGGUGGCGAAGCGGAUCUCUGGGCCGAUACUGACGCUGAGAGCGAAGCGUGGGGAGCGAACAGGAUUAGAUACCUGUAGUCCACGCCGUAAACGGUGGGCACUAGG
rnacentral:rRNA from 1 species